UACGGAGGGUGCAAGCGUUAUCCGGAUUCACUGGGUUUAAAGGGUGCGUAGGUGGGCAGGUAAGUCAGUGGUGAAAUCUCUGGGCUUAACUCAGAAACUGCCAUUGAUACUAUCUGUCUUGAAUACCGUGGAGGUCAGCGGAAUAUGUCAUGUAGCGGUGAAAUGCUUAGAUAUGACAUAGAACACCAAUUGCGAAGGCAGCUGGCUACACGAAUAUUGACACUGAUGCACGAAGGCGUGGGGAUCAAACAGG
rnacentral:rRNA from 1 species